UAUAAACAGCCGACACUUAACCUGUUUUCCCUCCCAUCUCUUUCUCUGCCCUUUCUUUUGGAGAAACCCUAACUCACAAGCCUUAUCCUCUCCAAACCUCACAACACAGACAACACCAUCAUCUUCACUCCCCUCUCCCUUUGCAAACACACACACCCAAAUCCAUUAUACUCAGUCACAACCUACAAAAAAAUCAAUGUUAUUUCACAACACAUCCACUCCCUCCCACCGUUUAUGUUUAUAUUCUGGCGACCGGUAUAACUAGCGGAGCCGCUUUACCGGCGACUGCCGGUGCAGUUCUCCGACAACAGUCGCACCCUCACACCCUCAUUCUUACCCCUCUCGCUUCUUCGGUGAACGAGAGUGACAUUAUAAGCAGCAAUUGGAGAGAGAGAAUAAACAGGUCGGAGCCAGCGUCGAGCACCGACGAGCUGUGGCGGCGACAGGCGACGACACCACCGUCUGCAGCGGUGAUGGUGGUGCAGCUGCUGAUGUUGUUCUUGUCGGGAACCGGGUUUUAAUUUCAGGUCUCGUGGUUAGUUUUGGUUUCGGGUUUCGUUUGAUCUCGGCUCCUAGCUCGGUUCUUAGUUCGGUAACUUCACCGGGGAUUCGACGGAACUCGCACCGUCGUCGGAGGAUAACCGUUUCGUUCGUCCUUUUGGGUUUCGCAAUCUUUACUCGUGCGUCAUUUCAAGGGAUUCUUAUACGCAACCACUGUUAAUUGUUGAGGUGAUACUUCAAGAUGAAACGAGAUUUAGGGUGGACUAGAUACACACCUAGAUUAAUCUAUCUUUUAUUGUUAUGCUUUGUUAUGAAACAAUGUUGUUAUUUCCAUUUAAAUCUUGUAUGACGUUUAGUAUUGAAAUGAAAUUUGAAUUUAAUUAAAUAUUGUCACGUAGUGUUAUGAAGUCUCUUGCAAUCUAUACACACUUCGUCUCAUCCCGAUGUUUCCGCCAUCGGUUGGGGUGUGACAGUUAAUGUUGUUGCAUUGCGUUUUGGAUAUUAAUCGGGUAUAAACACCCUAUAAACAAUUGAUUUUUUUGGUUAUGGAAUGUGUCUCGCUUAAAUUAAUGUUUGUGGAAUGAAACAGAUCAUGUUUUUUGGUUGUGGAAUGUGUAUGCUUUUUGUGGAAUUUUGUAGUUAUAUAGUUGAAGUUGGUGGGGAAAGUUAAGUACAUCUGAUCAACUAUUUAGUUUUUUUUUAGAUUUUGGUAUAGUUGGUUUUUUAGGCCAUAUGGGUUUAUAUAUAGAGACUCUUAUAUAUAUGACCCCAUAGUGCCCAUUUCUUCAUACAACCAUAGCAAAUGUCAAGUGGCAGGCAUCCCUCUUGCAUUCCAAAUUCGGUACAAAACACUGUUUGGAAAAAUAGAAAUGAGCACUUUGAUGAUUGGUCGCCAAAUGUUCUAGAGUUCUACUACGAUGGAGAUAGUCCAUUUUGUUUUUCUAACUACACGGGACAAAUACCACUUGACAGAGAUUGGUGGUGAACUGUUGGGUUAUUGCGGCAACGGAUAUAUACAAGAAAAGGUAUAAAACUAUAUAGAAUAUAAGAGAUUAGUUAUUUAGUUUUUUAUCUAUAUAUAUAUGCUAUGUUACAGCAUGUCCAGGCAUGGUGUAACAAACUAAUGGAAUAUAGAGAGAGUGUAAACCGUACUAGGACGUCUUCUUCAAACAAUUGUCGUUGGACUGUUUUGCCGCCCCGUUUUUUCAGCCUUAUUAUUGAACAAGAUCACGAGGCUUACAGUUAUGCGAACGGCUCUGUAGGACCAUACCCUGCCCUUUGGGAAGUGGAUACGGUUUACAUACCGCUAACGCAGGACGAGAUUAACUGGAACAUUAUAAAGAUAGAUUUGCAAUCAUUAAACGUUACAAUUUAUUACCCCAAUAAUUGUCACGUAAAAAUCUGCCGUGGUUCGUUUUGGGUACACAAAAAUAUAUACCAGCUUUUUGUGGAGUUUGAGAGUGCAUUCAUAUGGUUUUUAUGGAGCAUAAAUUAUUGGCGAAACGCGGGACAGUCCGAGACUGAUGCACUGGAUUUUAUAGGUGAUGUUGCAUGGCCGAGCCACGUGGAUAAUGUGGGCAGAAAUUCAGGGGUGAUUGUGUGUAUGUUGCUCAAUAAUCUUGUUCUUGACCGUUCAAUGACUUGCAUUGAAGGUAACAUACAAGACACAUGUAUGCGAUAUAGACGAUUUAUGGCAGAUGAACUCUACGCGGCACGUUCCACGCCUAAUAAUAUGUAACUUCACAUUAUAUAUUAAUAUAAUAGCAUUCGAAAUUUGUUUUU